AAUGGGAAGACGAUGAAUUCUAUUUCAGACAUCCUAGGUUUGAGGAAACUGUGAGGACAUCUAAGUGGCAAUUUCCAAAAGGCAGCUGAAUUAAUGUGUCUGGAGAUAAGAAAAAGACUAGAAUGAGGUGAAGCCAGAAAGGAAGAGUCAUAAUCAAAGAAGAGAGUGAUCAAGAAUCCAAAAUAGACAGAGAGAGCAGGCUCUUAGAGAAAUGGGAGAACUACCGCACUGACUCUGCACGUAGGAGACAGGCAGGAGAGGAGCGCCCCAGCCAGAGCUCAACAUGCGCAAACAGGAAGUGUGUCCGAGGUUUUCUGGAGCUCACAGGAGCCGGGGACCCACAGCCAGACGUUUAUCUGAAAGAAAAGCAGACAAGACAAACUAAAUCAGCAACCAUCCCUUUGGAUGCCAGCUGACCUCGGAUGGAGAUUUAGUGCUAGAUGUAAAAGGCUUUGUUUACAGACAAUUAAAAACCACAUAAAUUUAAAUUGUCAAAGAAGAAAUGGUUUCCAAAGCUUCUAACAGCCUGGUAGCCCCUCCUCAGCCCUGUGCAGGAAAGGCCCAGAGGCAAAUACAAAGCCACCAACCCAAAUGCCUGUGGAGUUUGCCAGAAAGCCAGAUCCUGCUGCUUCUGCUGCUU
rnacentral:lncRNA from 1 species